rnacentral:hammerhead_ribozyme from 1 species
NACCACUGACGAGUCCUAAACAGGACGAAACAGCCGUCCAGGGC